UACGAAGGGUGCAAGCGUUACUCGGAAUUACUGGGCGUAAAGCGUGCGUAGGUGGUUUGUUAAGUCUGAUGUGAAAGCCCUGGGCUCAACCUGGGAAUUGCAUUGGAUACUGGCAGGCUAGAGUGCGGUAGAGGAUGGCGGAAUUCCCGGUGUGGCAGUGAAAUGCGUAGAGAUCGGGAGGAACAUCUGUGGCGAAGGCGGCCAUCUGGACCAGCACUGACACUGAGGCACGAAAGCCAGGGGAGCAAACGGG
rnacentral:rRNA from 1 species